CGCACGCAGGCCCCGCCUCUCCUGGGGACCGGGCCUGAGGACGAGGGGCGGGACGUUCGAGGCGGGACGUUCGAGGCGGGGAAAGUGCGAAAGACAAAAACCGGAUUCAAAGCCAUGAACAUGAUGAAUACUGCCUCCCGGCCGGGUCCAGCUCACCUGACUGCCCAUCCUUGGUAACCAUGCAAGAACAGCACUGAAGGGGCUCAGGGGGAAGAUGGCAGCAUAGGAGGACGCUGGGCUCACCUCAUCCUGCUGAUCACUUAGAUUCCACCCACGCUUGCUUAAAUAACCCAGAGAACCGCCAGAAGACUAGCAGAAUGGACUCUCCGGAGCCAAGCGAAGACAAGAGGCCCACGGAAGAGGGGGAUUGUUUUUAAAGCUUAUGUUGCCACUGGGAAUGAGUUCUUUAGAUUUUGAUUUUCUACAAAGAAAAGGAUACGAAAAUGAAAAGAAAGCAGGAGCUGAAAGAAUAGGAGAGAGAAGAGAAGGAGAAAUCAGAAAGGGAAAGAAGAAAACCAAGGACUGAUCCCUGGGAUGCUCCAAAAUUAAUAGGUCUUGGAGAAGAGAGAGUGCUAGCAUGAAGACUGAGAAGGAAUAACCAGUGAGCCAGGAAGCAAAUGAAAAAGAGUAUGGUGUCCUGGAAGCCAUGUGAAGAAAAUAUAUUGAGGAAGAGGGAGUCAUCAGCCAUGCCACUGGAUUUACAGGCAGCUAAUGAAGGAAACCAACCCAGGGACUUCCUCUAGACCGGGAGGUGCUAACCAAGGGAGUUCUACAGAAAGCAUGCCUGGGGUGAGUGGCUUGGCCUAGCUUUUAGUCUGUCCACAUCAGAGGACACAGUAUGGUGCCUCCCAGUCCUCAUCUGGCCCCCAGACCUUUUUGUUGUUGUUCUCACAAAAUUUAAAAUCAUU